rfam:Triticum urartu cultivar G1812 contig353172, whole genome shotgun sequence.
UUUGUACUCCCUCCAUUCCAAAAUACUUGACUUCCAUUUGUCCAAAAAUGGAUGUACCUAUAUACUAAGACAUGUCUAGAUACAUAUAUAUUUUGACAAAUAGAAGGCAUGUAUUGUGCAACGGAGGGAGUAGAAU